UCGAUCCCAAGUAGUGGAUGCACUCUUUCCUGAGCUUUAUACUGACUCAGGUGGUUAGUGUCAUAUAUAAAUAAGAUUUUCUUCCCUAGUUUCUACUGAGUUACAUAUCAUUUAUUCCUUUCAGAUCAGAUGACUUAAAACUGUCACCAAUAUGCAACCUGUGGCCGCUUGUCUUGUGAAAUAGACUUUUUUUGUUUCUUCUUUGCUAUUCAUACUGACUGAUUCAAUUCUGUCUUAUGCAUCCUUUUUGUAAUUUGGCAAUUGUUGAGCAGGGUAAAGGUAAGAGGGAGGAGUCAUUCUAUAGGAUUGUGGUGAUGAGAAAGAUUGACAUUGAUAGGUCCUGUUGUGAACUUUGAUUUUCUAAUAUGGGGGAAAGUUGUCAAAGAAAGAAGAGGCUACUGUGAUUGUUGUGGGCUCUCUUGCACCUGCGGCCUUUGUGGUUGUACUGUGGCUUCCAGAGGAUUAAAAUGUAUAUGAUAAGAAUUUAAUGUAACUACUACUGAUCUUUACUUAAUUCUAUGAACAUUUUAUAAACAUUCAAUUGCUUAGAUCAAUUAGCUUUUGUAGUUUUGUGAUUUCUUGUUUUUAUUUGAUCAAAAGGAUGAUACAAGAAGUGCAUUUAAUUGUGUCAUAGUGCAAUAUUGUAUAUCUUUUUCA